CAAAAACCUUGCACUGGUCUCGAGCUCUCCCAAAGGUCUCCUCGGUUUGCAUAAACCUGUGCAAACACAGUAAACAUCUUUUAUUUGUUAAAUGAAAUCGAAUUAAGUAUAAGGUAAGACGAAGCUAAUGGUUUGUGUUUUUUUGUGUAGUAUUGGAGUUAUCCAGCUCCAUCAGUCGAUCAAGGCCAUUUUUUACUUCAACGUCAACUUCUAUUAACAACAAUCUCAAAGGUAACUUAACUUCUACUUCAAGAACCUUUGAUAACUGUAAAACAUGUAAAAUAACAGAGACAAAAACGAAAUGGUACAUUAUAUUGGUAACCUUGAUUUCUGGAAUUAUUUUCGGCAUUUUUAUUACAUCCUUGUUCUUUUUACGAUAUCGUCAACGGUGGGUGAAUAAAAAACAAAAGCAGCUGUCGACCAAUGCUGAAGGUAGAGUAAACACAGUUGAUUCAACUUA